CUCGAGAAGUCCUGUAGCGAAGAUGAGAAGGAGAUGGAUAACUUUGCUAACAAACGUGUCGGAGGCACACAAACGAAAACCAGUCUUCAACAUGAAUGAGGUAGAUCAUCUAUUGGAGCACAAAUUUGAGACCCUGAGCAUGGCGGAAAAAUUAGAGGACACUGCCUAGGCCUACGGGAGGUGUACUCCAUGGUCCUUGUUGGUGGAGCUGAGGGCUGAAUAGAGAAUGGGAAACACAAGCCAGGGCUACAAACAGCAUGGUGGGACACUGACACGUAAGUAAGACCAAUGAUGGAAGCUCAAUCUCUAUUUUGAAAUACUUUUGCUUUUUUAUGAAAAUUACCAAUUUUAUUUGUAAUAUAUUAGGGCUGUAACUUUUUCAAAAAUGAAUUUCAUGAGAGAGAGAGAGAGAGAGAGAGAGAGAGAGAGAGAGA